rnacentral:rRNA from 1 species
CCUACGGGUGGCUGCAGUGAGGAAUAUUGGUCAAUGGGCGCGCGCCUGAACCAGCCAAGUCGCGUGAGGGAGGACGGCCCUACGGGUUGUAAACCUCUCUUGCCGGGGAGCAACGGGCGUAACGUGUGGCGCCACUGAGAGUACCCGGAGGAAAAGAAUCGGCUAACUCCGUGCCAGCAGCCGCGGUACUACGGGGGGUGCAAGCAUUGUCCGGAACCAUUGGGCGUAAAGAGGUCGCAGGCGGCACGGAAAGUCUGGUGUUAAAGGCAGAGGCUCAACUUCUGUACGGCACUGGAUACUUGCGGGCUAGAAUGCGGUAGAGGGCAAGGGAAUUCCUGGUGUAGCGGUGAAAUGCUUAGAUAUCAGGAGGAACAUCGGUGGCGUAAGCGCUUUACUGGGCCGUAAUUGACGCUGAGGAACGAAAGCCAGGGUAGCAAAUGGGAUUAGAUACCCCUGUAGUC